UACGUAGGGUGCGAGCGUUGUCCGGAAUUAUUGGGCGUAAAGAGCUCGUAGGCGGCUUGUCGCGUCGGAUGUGAAAGCCCGGGGCUUAACUCCGGGUCUGCAUUCGAUACGGGCAGGCUAGAGUUCGGUAGGGGAGAUCGGAAUUCCUGGUGUAGCGGUGAAAUGCGCAGAUAUCAGGAGAAGCACCGGUGGCGAAGGCGGAUCUCUGGGCCGAUACUGACGCUGAGGAGCGAAAGCGUGGGGAGCGAACAGG
rnacentral:rRNA from 1 species